AGCCGAGCGGUAGAGAUUCUUCGGAAUCUUGAGAGCGGCGCACGGGUGCGGAACACGUGUGCAACCUACCUUUAUCAGGGGGAUAGCCUUUCGAAAGGAAGAUUAAUACCCCAUAAUAUAUUUGAUGGCAUCAUUAAAUAUUGAAAACUCCGGUGGAUAGAGAUGGGCACGCGCAAGAUUAGAUAGUUGGUGAGGUAACGGCUCACCAAGUCAAUGAUCUUUAGGGGGCCUGAGAGGGUGAUCCCCCACACUGGUACUGAGACACGGACCAGACUCCUACGGGAGGCAGCAGUGAGGAAUAUUGGACAAUGGGUGAGAGCCUGAUCCAGCCAUCCCGCGUGAAGGACGACGGCCCUAUGGGUUGUAAACUUCUUUUGUAUAGGGAUAAACCUACUCUCGUGAGAGUAGCUGAAGGUACUAUACGAAUAAGCACCGGCUAACUCCGUGCCAGCAGCCGCGGUAAUACGGAGGGUGCAAGCGUUAUCCGGAUUUAUUGGGUUUAAAGGGUCCGUAGGCGGACUCGUAAGUCAGUGGUGAAAUCUCAUAGCUUAACUAUGAAACUGCCAUUGAUACUGCGGGUCUUGAGUAAAGUAGAAGUGGCUGGAAUAAGUAGUGUAGCGGUGAAAUGCAUAGAUAUUACUUAGAACACCAAUUGCGAAGGCAGGUCACUAUGUUUUAACUGACGCUGAUGG
rnacentral:rRNA from 1 species